GGGUUGUGAGGUUAAGCGACUAAGCGUACACGGUGGAUGCCCUGGCAGUCAGAGGCGAUGAAGGACGUGCUAAUCUGCGAUAAGCGCCGGUAAGGUGAUAUGAACCGUUAUAACCGGCGAUUUCCGAAUGGGGAAACCCAGUGUGAUUCGUCACACUAUCAUUAACUGAAUCCAUAGGUUAAUGAGGCGAACCGGGGGAACUGAAACAUCUAAGUACCCCGAGGAAAAGAAAUCAACCGAGAUUCCCCCAGUAGCGGCGAGCGAACGGGGAGGAGCCCAGAGCCUGAAUCAGCAUGUGUGUUAGUGGAAGCGUCUGGAAAGGCGCGCGAUACAGGGUGACAGCCCCGUACACAAAAGCGCAUGUGCUGUGAGCUCGAUGAGUAGGGCGGGACACGUGGUAUCCUGUCUGAAUAUGGGGGGACCAUCCUCCAAGGCUAAAUACUCCUGACUGACCGAUAGUGAACCAGUACCGUGAGGGAAAGGCGAAAAGAACCCCGGCGAGGGGAGUGAAAAAGAACCUGAAACCGUGUACGUACAAGCAGUGGGAGCCCCACCACUAAGCCAGUGGUGAACUCCACAUCCGCAUCCUUUGCUGAGGAUACGGUUAACGGAGCGAAAGCGACGUUCAACCGCAAAACAAGCAGAGGGGGCUUAGUGGUGGGGUGACUGCGUACCUUUUGUAUAAUGGGUCAGCGACUUAUAUUCUGUAGCAAGGUUAACCGAAUAGGGGAGCCGGAGGGAAACCGAGUCUUAAUUGGGCGUUAAGUUGCAGGGUAUAGACCCGAAACCCGGUGAUCUAGCCAUGGGCAGGUUGAAGGUUGGGUAACACUAACUGGAGGACCGAACCGACUAAUGUUGAAAAAUUAGCGGAUGACCUGUGGCUGGGGGUGAAAGGCCAAUCAAACCGGGAGAUAGCUGGUUCUCCCCGAAAGCUAUUUAGGUAGCGCCUCGUGAAUUCAUCUCCGGGGGUAGAGCACUGUUUCGGCUAGGGGGCCAUCCCGGCUUACCAACCCGAUGCAAACUGCGAAUACCGGAGAAUGUUAUCACGGGAGACACACGGCGGGUGCUAACGUCCGUCGUGAAGAGGGAAACAACCCAGACCGCCAGCUAAGGUCCCAAAGUCAUGGUUAAGUGGGAAACGAUGUGGGAAGGCCCAGACAGCCAGGAUGUUGGCUUAGAAGCAGCCAUCAUUUAAAGAAAGCGUAAUAGCUCACUGGUCGAGUCGGCCUGCGCGGAAGAUGUAACGGGGCUAAACCAUGCACCGAAGCUGCGGCAGCGAACGUAUCACUUAAAGCGAUUCAGCGGGUUACGAUUGACGGAGCGAAGCGACGUCAAAGCGUAUACAAAGUCGAGUCGGUUUAAGGAUACGUUCGUUGGGUAGGGGAGCGUUCUGUAAGCCCGUGAAGGUGGCCUGUGAGGGUUGCUGGAGGUAUCAGAAGUGCGAAUGCUGACAUAAGUAACGAUAAAGCGGGUGAAAAGCCCGCUCGCCGGAAGACCAAGGGUUCCUGUCCAACGUUAAUCGGGGCAGGGUGAGUCGACCCCUAAGGCGAGGCCGAAAGGCGUAGUCGAUGGGAAACGGGUUAAUAUUCCCGUACUUGGUGUUACUGCGAAGGGGGGACGGAGAAGGCUAUGUUGGCCGGGCGACGGUUGUCCCGGUUUAAGCGUGUAGGUGUGUGUUCCAGGUAAAUCCGGUUCACUUUAACACUGAGGCGUGACGACGAGGCACUACGGUGCUGAAGCAACAAAUGCCCUGCUUCCAGGAAAAGCCUCUAAGCAUCAGGUAACAUCAAAUCGUACCCCAAACCGACACAGGUGGUCAGGUAGAGAAUACCAAGGCGCUUGAGAGAACUCGGGUGAAGGAACUAGGCAAAAUGGUGCCGUAACUUCGGGAGAAGGCACGCUGACACGUAGGUGAAGUGAUUUACUCAUGGAGCUGAAGUCAGUCGAAGAUACCAGCUGGCUGCAACUGUUUAUUAAAAACACAGCACUGUGCAAACACGAAAGUGGACGUAUACGGUGUGACGCCUGCCCGGUGCCGGAAGGUUAAUUGAUGGGGUCAGCGCAAGCGAAGCUCCUGAUCGAAGCCCCGGUAAACGGCGGCCGUAACUAUAACGGUCCUAAGGUAGCGAAAUUCCUUGUCGGGUAAGUUCCGACCUGCACGAAUGGCGUAAUGAUGGCCAGGCUGUCUCCACCCGAGACUCAGUGAAAUUGAACUCGCUGUGAAGAUGCAGUGUACCCGCGGCAAGACGGAAAGACCCCGUGAACCUUUACUAUAGCUUGACACUGAACAUUGAGCCUUGAUGUGUAGGAUAGGUGGGAGGCUUUGAAGUGUGGACGCCAGUCUGCAUGGAGCCGACCUUGAAAUACCACCCUUUAAUGUUUGAUGUUCUAACGUGGACCCGUAAUCCGGGUUGCGGACAGUGUCUGGUGGGUAGUUUGACUGGGGCGGUCUCCUCCUAAAGAGUAACGGAGGAGCACGAAGGUUGGCUAAUCCUGGUCGGACAUCAGGAGGUUAGUGCAAUGGCAUAAGCCAGCUUGACUGCGAGCGUGACGGCGCGAGCAGGUGCGAAAGCAGGUCAUAGUGAUCCGGUGGUUCUGAAUGGAAGGGCCAUCGCUCAACGGAUAAAAGGUACUCCGGGGAUAACAGGCUGAUACCGCCCAAGAGUUCAUAUCGACGGCGGUGUUUGGCACCUCGAUGUCGGCUCAUCACAUCCUGGGGCUGAAGUAGGUCCCAAGGGUAUGGCUGUUCGCCAUUUAAAGUGGUACGCGAGCUGGGUUUAGAACGUCGUGAGACAGUUCGGUCCCUAUCUGCCGUGGGCGCUGGAGAACUGAGGGGGGCUGCUCCUAGUACGAGAGGACCGGAGUGGACGCAUCACUGGUGUUCGGGUUGUCAUGCCAAUGGCACUGCCCGGUAGCUAAAUGCGGAAGAGAUAAGUGCUGAAAGCAUCUAAGCACGAAACUUGCCCCGAGAUGAGUUCUCCCUGAGACUUAGAGUCUCCUGAAGGAACGUUGAAGACGACGACGUUGAUAGGCCGGGUGUGUAAGCGCAGCGAUGCGUUGAGCUAACCGGUACUAAUGAACCGUGAGGCUUAACCUUACAACGCCGAAG
rnacentral:rRNA from 1 species